rnacentral:rRNA from 1 species
CUCAGAUUGAACGCUGGCGGCAGGCCUAACACAUGCAAGUCGAGCGGUAACAGGAGAAAGCUUGCUUUCUUGCUGACGAGCGGCGGACGGGUGAGUAAUAUAUGGGGAUCUGCCCGAUAGAGGGGGAUAACUACUGGAAACGGUGGCUAAUACCGCAUGAUGUCUACGGACCAAAGCAGGGGCUCUUCGGACCUUGCGCUAUCGGAUGAACCAUAUGGGAUUAGCUAGUAGGUGGGGUAAUGGCUCACCUAGGCGACGAUCUCUAGCUGGUCUGAGAGGAUGAUCAGCCACACUGGGACUGAGACACGGCCCAGACUCCUACGGGAGGCAGCAGUGGGGAAUAUUGCACAAUGGGCGCAAGCCUGAUGCAGCCAUGCCGCGUGUAUGAAGAAGGCCUUAGGGUUGUAAAGUACUUUCAGCGGGG